rnacentral:rRNA from 2 species
GCGAACUGAUUAGAAGCUUGCUUCUAUGACGUUAGCGGCGGACGGGUGAGUAACACGUGGGCAACCUGCCUGUAAGACUGGGAUAACUCCGGGAAACCGGAGCUAAUACCGGAUAACAUUUUUUCUUGCAUAAAAGAAAAUUGAAAGAUGGUUUCGGCUAUCACUUACAGAUGGGCCCGCGGUGCAUUAGCUAGUUGGUGAGGUAACGGCUCACCAAGGCAACGAUGCAUAGCCGACCUGAGAGGGUGAUCGGCCACACUGGGACUGAGACACGGCCCAGACUCCUACGGGAGGCAGCAGUAGGGAAUCUUCCGCAAUGGACGAAAGUCUGACGGAGCAACGCCGCGUGAGUGAUGAAGGCUUUCGGGUCGUAAAACUCUGUUGUUAGGGAAGAACAAGUACAAGAGUAACUGCUUGUACCUUGACGGUACCUAACCAGAAAGCCACGGCUAACUACGUGCCAGCAGCCGCGGUAAUACGUAGGUGGCAAGCGUUAUCCGGAAUUAUUGGGCGUAAAGCGCGCGCAGGCGGUUUCUUAAGUCUGAUGUGAAAGCCCACGGCUCAACCGUGGAGGGUCAUUGGAAACUGGGGAACUUGAGUGCAGAAGAGAAAAGCGGAUUUCCACGUGUAGCGGUGAAAUGCGUAGAGAUGUGGAGGAACACCAGUGGCGAAGGCGGCUUUUUGGUCUGUAACUGACGCUGAGGCGCGAAAGCGUGGGGAGCAAACAGGAUUAUAUACCCUGGUAGUCCACGCCGUAAACGAUGAGUGCUAAGUGUUAGAGGGUUUCCGCCCUUUUAGUGCUGCAGCUAACGCAUUAAGCACUCCGCCCGGGGAGUACGGUCGCAAGACUGAAACUCAAAGGAUUUGACGGGCGCCCGCACCAGCGGUGGAGCAUGUUGUUUUAUUCGAAGCAACGCGAAGAACCUUACCAGGGUCGUGGACAUCCUCUGACAACUCUAGAGAUAGAGCGUUCCCCUUCGGGGGACAGGAGUGACAGGUGCUGCAUGGGUCGUCGUCAGCUCGUCGUCGUGAGAUGGUGGGAUUAGGUCCAGCACGAGCGCCACCCGUUGAUCUUAGUUGCAUCAUUUUAGUUGGCACUCUGAGGUACUGCGGUGACCACCGAGGAGGUGGGAUGACGU